UUCUCUUGCAACAUCUUGUCGUGUGCGACUUUGGCUGCUCGGCCGCAUGCAUAUCUGAGGCUGGGUACUCAUCACCAUCGCAUAGUACUCAUCACAAUCGCCGUGUUACCCCGUGAAGUACGAGCAAACUAAUAUUUGCGACCUCGUCUUCUGUCGUACUAUAAUGCCAAUCCCUGCAGAAUCUACAGCAAUAACAAUCCAACGCCUGUCCAUCGCACCCGUGUCCAAUUCGGUCAUAUCCCGCCACGUGGCCGUGAUCGGAGCCGGAGCCGCCGGACUCGUGACGGCUCGAGAGCUCCGGCGCAAGGGACACAGCGUCGUCGUCUACGAGCGCGGUGACCAGGUCGGCGGCACCUGGGUGUAUACUGCGAUGGUCGAGUCCGACUGUCUCGGACUCGACCCGACUCGGACUAAGGUCCACAGCAGCCUAUACGGCUCCCUCCGCACCAACCUCCCCCGCGAGGCCAUGGGCUUCAGCGACUACCCGUUCUUCUCCAGAGACGACCCGGACCGAGACCCGAGACGGUUCCCGGGUCACCGAGAGGUCCUCAUGUAUCUCAAAGAUUUCGCGCGCAAGUUUCGGAUCGGUGAAUUGGUGCGGUUUGAGACAGAGGUCGUGCGCGUGAGAUUAAUGGAGGGCUCGAAAUGGAAUGUAAAAUCUAGAAAGAGAGACGAAGAUGGAGCUGGUUUUGAUGAGAUUUUUGACGCCGUUGUUGUAUGUAAUGGGCACCAUACCGAACCUCGGAUCGCCUUGAUUCCGGGUAUGAAUGAAUGGCCGGGGAAGCAAAUGCAUAGCCACAAUUAUCGUGAUCCUGAGCCUUUUCGAGAUCAAGUAUGUGCCAGGUUGUAGUUUUGAUUGGGAGUUCAGCAAGUGCUGUCGAUAUUUCACGGGACAUCGCUGGUGUUGCCAAAGAAGUCCACAUUGCAGCUAGAACAGUUGGGGAUGAAACAUUUAAAAAACAGCCUGGCUAUGAUAACAUGUGGCUUCAUCCUAUGAUAGGAAGUGUCAGUGGAGAUGGUACUGUAUAUUUCCAAGAUGGCAGUUUUGUCCUUGCUGAUGUCAUUCUACACUGCACAGGGUACAAGUAUGAUUUUCCUUUUCUUGAGACAAAUGGCGUUGUGACUGUGGAUGACAACCGUGUGGAGCCACUGUACAAGCACGUUUUCCCACCAGCCCUGGCCCCGUGGCUUUCCUUUGUUGGAUUAACAUGGAAGGUUCAUCCUUAUUAUUUGGUUGGAUCUUUAAUUUGGUCUUUGUUAAUGGUGGAAGUAAAUCUUUUGCAUUGGGUUGGUGACAGGUUAUUCCAUUCCCCAUGUUUGAAUUACAAAGCAAGUGGAUAGCUGGUGUUUUGUCAAAUCAAUUGAUGCUUCCAUCACAAGAGGAGAUGAUGGAAGAUGUUGAAACUUUAUACUCUUCACUUGAAGCUGCUGGUACGCCUAAGCGAUACACUCAUCGUAUGGAUAUUAGUCAGUUCGAGUACAAUAGUUGGCUUGCGGCGCAGUGUGGAUGCCCUGGAAAUGAAGAAUGGAGGGUGCAGAUGUAUCGUGCUCUUGGCAGGAACAAACUUGCUCGACCCGAGGCUUACCGUGACGAAUGGGAAGAUCAUCACUUGAUUUCGCAAGCUCACGAGGACUUCAUCAAGUACACCUCCAAUGGCGUUAGUGACAAAUGUGUCUCAGAGUAAUCAGGUUUCAAGACUCCCUCAACCCCUGUAUCAUUUUCCGGGGAAAACCAAUGUUGUGUUAUUUUCUUUUACUUACCUUUGCUUAAUCAUUCUUCUGAAUGAUAAAUAUUACAAGUAUAAAUUAAGAAUAAUGAGAGUGAUCGUGAUCAACAAUAUACAAGAAGGGUGCAUUCUUCCAUUCCUUCGCAUUGAGCUUUAAUAAUUACAAAGUAUUGCACCAGCCGGGAAUUGGUCCCAGGUC